rnacentral:rRNA from 1 species
UACGGGGGGAGCAAGCGUUGUUCGGAUUUACUGGGCGUAAAGGGCGCGUAGGCGGCACCGCAAGUCGACUGUGAAAUCUCCGGGCUUAACCCGGAAAGGUCAGCCGAUACUGCGGGGCUAGAGUGCAGAAGGGGCAACUGGAAUUCUCGGUGUAGCGGUGAAAUGCGUAGAUAUCGAGAGGAACACCUGCGGCGAAGGCGGGUUGCUGGGCUGACACUGACGCUGAAGUGCGAAAGCUAGGGGAGCGAACGGG